GGGUUGUGAGGUUAAGCGACUAAGCGUACACGGUGGAUGCCCUGGCAGUCAGAGGCGAUGAAGGGCGUGCUAAUCUGCGAUAAGCGCCGGUAAGGUGAUAUGAACCGUUAUAACCGGCGAUACCCGAAUGGGGAAACCCAGUGUGAUUCGUCACACUAUCAUUAACUGAAUCCAUAGGUUAAUGAGGCGAACCGGGGGAACUGAAACAUCUAAGUACCCCGAGGAAAAGAAAUCAACCGAGAUUCCCCCAGUAGCGGCGAGCGAACGGGGAGGAGCCCAGAGCCUGAAUCAGCAUGUGUGUUAGUGGAAGCGUCUGGAAAGGCGCGCGAUACAGGGUGACAGCCCCGUACACAAAAGCGCAUGUGCUGUGAGCUCGAUGAGUAGGGCGGGACACGUGGUAUCCUGUCUGAAUAUGGGGGGACCAUCCUCCAAGGCUAAAUACUCCUGACUGACCGAUAGUGAACCAGUACCGUGAGGGAAAGGCGAAAAGAACCCCGGCGAGGGGAGUGAAAAAGAACCUGAAACCGUGUACGUACAAGCAGUGGGAGCNNGUGACUGCGUACCUUUUGUAUAAUGGGUCAGCGACUUAUAUUCUGUAGCAAGGUUAACCGAAUAGGGGAGCCGGAGGGAAACCGAGUCUUAAUUGGGCGUUAAGUUGCAGGGUAUAGACCCGAAACCCGGUGAUCUAGCCAUGGGCAGGUUGAAGGUUGGGUAACACUAACUGGAGGACCGAACCGACUAAUGUUGAAAAAUUAGCGGAUGACCUGUGGCUGGGGGUGAAAGGCCAAUCAAACCGGGAGAUAGCUGGUUCUCCCCGAAAGCUAUUUAGGUAGCGCCUCGUGAAUUCAUCUCCGGGGGUAGAGCACUGUUUCGGCUAGGGGGCCAUCCCGGCUUACCAACCCGAUGCAAACUGCGAAUACCGGAGAAUGUUAUCACGGGAGACACACGGCGGGUGCUAACGUCCGUCGUGAAGAGGGAAACAACCCAGACCGCCAGCUAAGGUCCCAAAGUCAUGGUUAAGUGGGAAACGAUGUGGGAAGGCCCAGACAGCCAGGAUGUUGGCUUAGAAGCAGCCAUCAUUUAAAGAAAGCGUAAUAGCUCACUGGUCGAGUCGGCCUGCGCGGAAGAUGUAACGGGGCUAAACCAUGCACCGAAGCUGCGGCAGCGANNGUUGGGUAGGGGAGCGUUCUGUAAGCCUGUGAAGGUGUGUCGUGAGGCAUGCUGGAGGUAUCAGAAGUGCGAAUGCUGACAUAAGUAACGAUAAAGCGGGUGAAAAGCCCGCUCGCCGGAAGACCAAGGGUUCCUGUCCAACGUUAAUCGGGGCAGGGUGAGUCGACCCCUAAGGCGAGGCCGAAAGGCGUAGUCGAUGGGAAACGGGUUAAUAUUCCCGUACUUGGUGUUACUGCGAAGGGGGGACGGAGAAGGCUAUGUUGGCCGGGCGACGGUUGUCCCGGUUUAAGCGUGUAGGUGUGUGUUCCAGGUAAAUCCGGUUCACUUUAACACUGAGGCGUGAUGACGAGGCACUACGGUGCUGAAGUAACAAAUGCCCUGCUUCCAGGAAAAGCCUCUAAGCAUCAGGUAACAUCAAAUCGUACCCCAAACCGACACAGGUGGUCAGGUAGAGAAUACCAAGGCGCUUGAGAGAACUCGGGUGAAGGAACUAGGCAAAAUGGUGCCGUAACUUCGGGAGAAGGCACGCUGACACGUAGGUGAAGUGAUUUACUCAUGGAGCUGAAGUCAGUCGAAGAUACCAGCUGGCUGCAACUGUUUAUUAAAAACACAGCACUGUGCAAACACGAAAGUGGACGUAUACGGUGUGACGCCUGCCCGGUGCCGGAAGGUUAAUUGAUGGGGUCAGCGCAAGCGAAGCUCCUGAUCGAAGCCCCGGUAAACGGCGGCCGUAACUAUAACGGUCCUAAGGUAGCGAAAUUCCUUGUCGGGUAAGUUCCGACCUGCACGAAUGGCGUAAUGAUGGCCAGGCUGUCUCCACCCGAGACUCAGUGAAAUUGAACUCGCUGUGAAGAUGCAGUGUACCCGCGGCAAGACGGAAAGACCCCGUGAACCUUUACUAUAGCUUGACACUGAACAUUGAGCCUUGAUGUGUAGGAUAGGUGGGAGGCUUUGAAGUGUGGACGCCAGUCUGCAUGGAGCCGACCUUGAAAUACCACCCUUUAAUGUUUGAUGUUCUAACGUGGACCCGUGAUCCGGGUUGCGGACAGUGUCUGGUGGGUAGUUUGACUGGGGCGGUCUCCUCCUAAAGAGUAACGGAGGAGCACGAAGGUUGGCUAAUCCUGGUCGGACAUCAGGAGGUUAGUGCAAUGGCAUAAGCCAGCUUGACUGCGAGCGUGACGGCGCGAGCAGGUGCGAAAGCAGGUCAUAGUGAUCCGGUGGUUCUGAAUGGAAGGGCCAUCGCUCAACGGAUAAAAGGUACUCCGGGGAUAACAGGCUGAUACCGCCCAAGAGUUCAUAUCGACGGCGGUGUUUGGCACCUCGAUGUCGGCUCAUCACAUCCUGGGGCUGAAGUAGGUCCCAAGGGUAUGGCUGUUCGCCAUUUAAAGUGGUACGCGAGCUGGGUUUAGAACGUCGUGAGACAGUUCGGUCCCUAUCUGCCGUGGGCGCUGGAGAACUGAGGGGGGCUGCUCCUAGUACGAGAGGACCGGAGUGGACGCAUCACUGGUGUUCGGGUUGUCAUGCCAAUGGCACUGCCCGGUAGCUAAAUGCGGAAGAGAUAAGUGCUGAAAGCAUCUAAGCACGAAACUUGCCCCGAGAUGAGUUCUCCCUGAGACUUAGAGUCUCCUGAAGGAACGUUGAAGACGACGACGUUGAUAGGCCGGGUGUGUAAGCGCAGCGAUGCGUUGAGCUAACCGGUACUAAUGAACCGUGAGGCUUAACCUUACAACGCCGAAG
rnacentral:rRNA from 1 species